rnacentral:rRNA from 1 species
UCUACGGGAGGCAGCAGUGGGGAAUAUUGCGCAAUGGGCGAAAGCCUGACGCAGCCAUGCCGCGUGUGUGAAGAAGGCCUUAGGGUUGUAAAGCACUUUCAAUUGGGAAGAAAAGCUCAUCGUUAAUAGCGGUGAGCCCUGACAUUACCUUUAGAAGAAGCACCGGCUAACUCCGUGCCAGCAGCCGCGGUAAU